CCUACGGGAGGCAGCAGUGAGGAAUAUUGGUCAAUGGUCGUAAGCCUGAACCAGCCAAGCCGCGUGAGGGAUGAAGGUUCUAUGUAUCGUAAACCUCUUUUAUAAGGGAAUAAAGACCGGGACGUGUCCCGGGUUGAAUGUACCUUAUGAAUAAGGAUCGGCUAACUCCGUGCCAGCAGCCGCGGUAAUACGGAGGAUCCGAGCGUUAUCCGGAUUUAUUGGGUUUAAAGGGUGCGUAGGCGGCUUGUUAAGUCAGCGGUGAAAGUCCGGGGCUCAACCCUGGAACUGCCGUUGAAACUGGGAGGCUUGAGUUGGAUAGAGGUAGGCGGAAUGCGUGGUGUAGCGGUGAAAUGCAUAGAUAUCACGCAGAACACCGAUUGCGAAGGCAGCCUGCC
rnacentral:rRNA from 1 species